rnacentral:rRNA from 1 species
AUAUCACUAAGCGGAGGAAAAGAAAUUAACUAAGAUUGCCUCAGUAACGGCGAGUGAAGUGGCAAAAGCCCAAACUGGAAAUCUCCAUGCUUCGCAUGGCGAAUUGUAAUCUAAAGGUGGGAAGCUUACCUAGUUAUGACGCAUAAGUGCUCAAGAAAGGGCCGCCAGAGAGGGUGAAAGCCCCGUAUUUGGCGUCAUGACUUACCGAGCUCCUUUCAAAGAGUCGGGUUGUUUUGAACUACAGCCCUAAGCUGGGAGAUAGACUUCUUCUAAGGCUAAAUAUAUAUGGGAGACCGAUAGCGCACAAGUA